CAGUACCGUGAGGGAAAGGUGAAAAGCACCCCGGGAGGGGAGUGAAACAGUACCUGAAACCGUGCGCCCACGAGCAGUCGGAGCACCUAUACGGUGUGACGGCGUGCCUUUUGUAGAAUGAGCCAGCGAGUCGCUGGCGCGGGGCGAGGUUAACCGAAAGGGAGCCGGAGCGAAAGCGAGCCUUAACAGGGCGACUUGAGUCCCGCGCCGCGGACGCGAAGCCGGGUGAGCUAUCCGUGGGCAGGCUGAAGCGGGGGUAAGACCCCGUGGAGGGCCGAACGCACGUCGGUUGAAAACGGCGGCGAUGACCUGCGGAUAGGGGUGAAAGGCCAAUCAAACCCGGAGAUAUCUCGUUCUCCCCGAAAUAGCUUUAGGGCUAGCGUCGCGCGUUCACCGCCGGAGGUAGAGCACCGGAUGGACGAGGGGGCUUCGCCGCCUACCGAAUCCAACCGAACUCCGAAUGCCGGCGGCCCAGAGCGCGGCAGUCAGAGCAUGUGGGCUAAGCUGUGUGCUCGAGAGGGAAACAGCCCGGACCGCCCGCUAAGGUCCCCAAGUUCCAGCCGAGUGGCAAAGGAUGUGCGUCCGCCCAGACAACCAGGAUGUUGGCUUAGAAGCAGCCAUGCAUUCAAAGAGUGCGUAACAGCUCACUGGUCGAGUGGACAUGCGCCGACAAUACACGGGGCUAAGCUGGACACCGAAGCGGCGGGAUUUUGAUUUUCAGAAUCGGUAGGGGAGCUUCCCAUGGGCGGUGAAGCCGCCGGGCGACCGGCGGUGGAGCGCAUGGGAGUGAGAAUGCUGGCAUGAGUAGCGAGAGACGAGAGAGUAACUCGUCCGCCGUGAACCCGAGGUUUCCUGGGCAAGGCUAAUCCUCCCAGGGUCAGUCGGGGGCUAAGGCGAGGCCGGGAGGCGUAGCCGACGCGCAGCAGGCAGACAUUCCUGCACCGCGCACGCGGCGCUACGACCGACGGGGCGACGGAUGGGGGUGGCUCGGCGGGGUUCUGGACGUCCCCGUGAUGGAGCGCGGCCCGCGGACCAGGGAAAUCCGGUCCGCACACAGGGCGAGGCUCCGGACGAAGCGAUCAAGCGAAGCGAGUGAGCCCGAGGUCCCUAGAAAAACCCCUAGGCAGGCGCGUGCGCGCCCGUACCGCAAACCGACACAGGUGGGUGGGUAGAACAUACCGAGGCGAUCGGGUCAACCAUGGUCAAGGAACUCGGCACAAUGGCCCCGUAACUUCGGGAGAAGGGGUGCCCGCGCGUACGUGAACCGGCUUGCCCGGGGAGCGGAGGCGGGCCGCAGUGGAGAGGCCCAAGCGACUGUUUACCAAAAACACAGGACUCUGCAGAAGCCGCAAGGCGACGUAUAGGGUCUGACGCCUGCCCGGUGCCGGAAGGUCACGCGGAGGAGUUAGCCGCAAGGCGAAGCCCCGAAGCCAAGCCCCGGUAAACGGCGGCCGUAACUAUAACGGUCCUAAGGUAGCGAAAUUCCUUGUCGGGUAAGUUCCGACCUGCACGAAAGGCGCAACGACUUGGGCGCUGUCUCGACCAUGGACCCGGUGAAAUUGCACUGGUCGUGAAGAUGCGACUUACCCGCGGAAGGACGGAAAGACCCCGUGAACCUUCACUGCAGCUUGGCAUUGGCCGCUGGUCCCGCGUGUAGAGGAUAGGCAGGAGGCGAAGAUCCGGAGGCGCCAGCCCCCGGGGAGCCGCCCUUGGAAUACUGCCCUCGCGCGACCGGCGUCCUAACCCGAGGCCGUCAACCGGCUCGGGGACCGUGCCAGGCGGGCAGUUUGACUGGGGCGGUCGCCUCCUAAAGGGUAACGGAGGCGCGCGAAGGUCCGCUCGGGACGGUCGGCAACCGUCCUUUUGAAUGCAAGAGUACAAGCGGGCUUGACUGCGAGGCCCACAAGCCGAGCAGGUGCGAAAGCAGGCUCUAGUGAUCCGGCGGCCCCGAGUGGGUGGGCCGUCGCUCAACGGAUAAAAGGUACUCCGGGGAUAACAGGCUGAUCUUGCCCAAGAGUCCACAUCGACGGCAAGGUUUGGCACCUCGAUGUCGGCUCAUCGCAUCCUGGGGCUGGAGCAGGUCCCAAGGGUACGGCUGUUCGCCGUUUAAAGCGGUACGCGAGCUGGGUUCAGAACGUCGUGAGACAGUUCGGUCCCUAUC
rnacentral:rRNA from 1 species